rnacentral:ncRNA from 1 species
CUUAUCAAGAGUGGCGGAGGGACCGGCCCUAUGAAGCCCGGCAACCUGCAUUUGCAAGGUGCCAAAUCCGGCGGUGUAAAUCGAAAGAUGAGG